CUACGGGCGGCAGCAGUCAAGAAUCUUCCUCAAUGGCCUAACGGCUGAAGGAGCAAUGCCGCGUGAUCGAAGAAGCCCCUCGGGGUGUAAAGAUCUUUUAUGAGGGAAGAAUACGUGACGGUACCUCAAGAAUGAGUCACUGCUAACUUCGUGCCAGCAGCAGCGGUAAUACGAAGGUGGCAAGCGUUACCCGGAUUAAUUGGGCGUAAAGCGUCCGCAGGCUGUGUUCCAAGUUCUUGGUUAAAUCUUGAAGCUUAACUUCAAGGCUGCUGAGAAAACUAGAAUGCUAGAGGCUGGGAGAGGUUAGCGGAAUUACCGGUGUAGUAGUGAAAUGCGUUAAUAUCGGUAGGAACACCAAAUGCGAAAGCAGCUAACUGGAACAGACCUGACGCUCAGGGACGAAAGCGUGGGGAGCGAAUGGGAUUAGAUACCCCGGUAGUC
rnacentral:rRNA from 1 species